GACGUCCGUUCGUGGGCGGAGGAAGGAGAUGGAGGAUGCUGUAUCCAUUUCGGCCGGAUUUUGCAAAGAGAAGCUCUGGAGUCGACGUAAAGCUUCAUUUUUUUGGUGUUUUUGAUGACCACAGCUGCUCUCACGUUUUGGAAGGAAGGAUUAUCUCGUAGGAUUUUGCCCUACAGAUAAUGCUAGGGUUAUUAUGAACCCAAAGGGAGAAAUGAAAGGAUCUGCAAUUACUGGACCAAUUGGAAAGGAGUGCGCUGAUUUAUGGCCUAUGAUUGCUAGUGUAGCCAAUGCCAUUGUGUAAUAUCUAGAUUUUUCUUCAGGUGUCAGUGAGGAGGAGUAGUUUCAUGUUAUUUGUUAUUGAAAAAAGGGAGUUUUUUAAAUAUGGAUCCAUAUUUGUAUUAGAUGUUUUUUCCCGUGACGUACAUAUAUUGGAAUUGAUAUUCUGGGAUCCAGCUGAUGGUAACAUUGUUUUC